CACUGUUUCAGUUUCUCUCUUCUUUUACUCUCAUACCAUCGCUUCCCUUCCUCUCUUACCUUCACCUUCAAUUUCAAACAAAGAAAACCUUCAGCCAUCGCGCCGCCAUGCCUCCGACGGCAGUCGCGACAGCUCUAAACACAAAAACCAACGCAGAGAUGGUGAAUCUCCACAGCAGCGAUGAAGAAGACGACGGCGGCGGCGCCACACCUAGGAAAUGGGUUAAAUGAGGCGAAUAUGAAAGGGGUCGAUUGGAAAUCCUAACGGAAAAUCUCCAAAAAAUCAAGGAUUCCGCGAUGUGAAGAGCGAAUUGAGCAACAACAACCUUCAAUAUGCGGAAGUGACUGUGGUGAGCCGCGGUGGAAAGCUUUUCAGUGGCUAUGAUGAUGAAUCUGUUGUAGAAUAUAGGGAUGAAGAUGAAGAUAUGUUGAUUCGUUGAAGCCUCUUGAAGACGUGAAUAUGAUGAAACAAAUGUUGCGGUUCUGAGAUGAUUAGAUUAUGGAGAGAAGCAUCAAAGAAUUUGCAGAAGAUAGAGAGCGAUGAAGGUUCUGCAGUUUUAAGAUUCAAAGAAUGAUGAUGAAGAUCUUGUAGAGAAUAGGGAGAGUUUUCUUGUUAUAUGUUCUGUUAAGCUCUUGUUGGCAUUGGAUGUAGGGUGAGAUUGUUGGAAAACAAUAUAGCAGUAGGGCGGGGAGUCAUAGAUAAGUCCAUGUUAACUUGAUUGUUAUGUUUUUAUGCUACUUUGUAUACAAUAAUUCAUAAGUCAUCCUUGGAUUUACAUGUAAAUGAAAAAUAUUAUUUUACAUUUUCACCUGUGAUGCAAGUUUACCAAUGUAUGCAUUUAUUAAUUAAUGUGUUUCUUCUUACAGUACCGAGGAGGUGGCUUUCAGUUCCAAUGGUGGAAAGGAUUCACCGGUUCGAUUGACAAAGAAAUUGGCUCUAACUCAACUCGUCGUAGUUGCACGUCGACACCGCGAUUUAGAAAAUAGGUGUUUCUGAUGGAGAUACGACAGUGAACCUAAGCAUGACUGGACUAGUUUGAUUGCGAACUAUGUCUGCAGAUUAGAGAUUUUGUUGCAGAAAAUAUGUCUCUGAGAGGUAUUGAAUUCCAUACUGAGGAGUCUCCCGUAGCUAUCACUAAGGCAGCUGAUGGUUCACCUCUUUAAAGACCAACAGGACGUGCACCUAAUAUCAUGUUUGCCACAAGGUACUGAGGAGUCUCUCAUAUCAUGUUUGCCACAGGACGUGCACCUAAUACUAAGAGUCUCCUAGAUGGCUUGUAAGUAAUAAAUUGGUCUUAAUAUGGAUGAUACAAGAACAAGAAAAAGAGUCCAUAGCAGAAGGAUGAUCGUAAAAUCCUGAAGCGUUGGAAGUGGAGCUGUGUACUGAUGGAUGAGGCACGUGCUUUAAAGGACAAAAAUAGCUUUAGGUGGAAAAAUCUGAUGUCUGUUGCUCGAAAUGCGAACCAACGCUUGAUGCUGACAGGGACACCUCUUCAAAAUGACUUACAUUGUAUUGUGAUGAAUGAGAACACACUCUUAGAUGGAAGCACCGGGCCACGAGUCAAAAUUUGCGACUUUGGCUACUCAAAGGAACAAGAAAAUUUGUGAUGGACUUGUUGAUUUCUCAGCACUCCAAGCAACAUGUGGAAGGCCUUUAGGGUUGGGUUUCAACCAUCAAACGGGUGAUUUGUAUGUAGCUGAUGCUUAUUUUGGGCUUGACUCUUUUAGGGUUGGGCUUCUAUGCCCUCGAUUUUUAAACAUGAUUUUAAGUAUGGGAUGACUCUUUUUUGAGAGAAACUUGUGUUUAAUUUAGCUCUUGUUUUGGAUCCCAAGGUUGUUUUGAAUUUUGAAUUUGGGAUGACAUCAAAACUUAGUAUCCAACUAUUAUUAGUGGCACUACAAAAAAAACUUACUUUUGACCUUAAUGUUAAUUUGCUUGUAAUUAA